rnacentral:rRNA from 1 species
GACGAACGCUGGCGGCGUGCCUAAUACAUGCAAGUAGAACGCAGUUGCGAACGGGUGAGUAACGCGUAGGUAACUGCCUGGUAGCGGGGGAUAACUAUCUGAAACGAUAGCUAAUACCGCAUACUACCAGAUGGACCUGCGUUGUAUUAGCUAGUUGGUGGGGUAACGGCUCACCAAGGCAACGAUACAUAACCGACCUGAGUUGGUGGUCGACUAUACGUGGGCUGAGACACGGCCCAGACUCCUACGGGAGGCAGCAGUAGGGAAACUUCGGUAAGGGGGGGAACGCUGACCGAGCGACGCGGCGUGAGUGAAGAAGGUUUUCGGAUCGUAAAGCUCUAUUGUUAAGGAAGCGGUACUUAACCAGAAAGGGACGGCUAACUACGUGCCAGCAGCCGCGGUAAUAC